UUUGAUUAGAUCGAGUAUUUUGACUUACCAUGCUUCUAGACACCCAGGGCUACUCUGCUGUUGCUGCUGCUGAUGCUGCUGUGGAUAUUGCGGUGCAUACGGAGGAGGAUAUCCUUGCUGAGGAUAGCCCUGCGGUGGUGGAUAGCCCUGCUGUGGGUAGCCUUGCGGCGGAUAUCCCUGAGGAGGAGGAUAACCUUGCGGCUGAUAAGACUCCUUUGGAUAUCCCUCAGGCGGGAAACCUUGAGGAGUAGGAACACCAACGGGAGGUUGAUUGUACUGACUCAUUGUUAUUUCUGAUCUCCUAUGAAACGUGUAGCUCAAGAGACGACCAAAAGGAGAUGACUCACGGUGCAAAUCCUAGGUCCAGAUACUUAGAGAAGUUAUAGGAGCCAUAGAGACGUGUGGAAAAAGAUAAGGACAAGGAAAAGUCGUUGAGAAUGUUUUAAGUAGGCCUGGACAAAUAAAUUGAAUCCGAAAAUUCAAACCGAAUCCAACUCGAUAAAACCGAAUGAACGGAUCCAAACACGACAUAUAUACCAAAUGGAUCUUUUUCGGUAGUUCGGGUUGGUUUUAGCCAAAUAAAACCUAGACCAAAAUGGAUAUCCGAAAAUCAAAAUCUCAAAAAUAAACUUGUACAAACCCGAUCCCAAUCUUAAUGUGUAUCUAAAAUACACUAAGAUAUUAUUAAGUACCUAAAACAACUAUUUAUUACAUGAAUAAUUAACUCAAAUCAUAAAAAAUAACUCAAAUAUUUAUUUAAAUAUAUCUUUUUGGUCAAUAAUGAUGUUCUAAUCUUACAAUAUUAAAAGGAGAAUAAGCUCAAAGGAGAGCUAUGCCACAUAGGACUAAAAAAUUGACCAAUUAUGAAGCUCUAUUAUGCCAUGUCACUCAUUUUGCAGUCGAAAUAAAAUGUUAACUCUCAUAUGGGCUGAUAAUAAUGAAAAUUGGCCCAUUAUUAAAGAGUCCAGCUCUUCAUCCAAUUUCAAUUUCCAUCACCGUAAUCUCCGACUCUUACAAUUCAUGGGCGACGUUUCCAAUCGCUGCAAUUAACCGUUUAAUUACGACCCAUUCGAUGUCAUUCAAUUACAUUGUUUAAUCCUACCUUCAUGACUCACUCGCUCUCAUUCGGAUUUUUCUCUUCGUCUCCCCAGAGUGCUUUGAGAGAUGAAAUAUAAAUAUCAAAACUCUUCUACUUACAAAAUAAAAAUAAAAGUCGCAUCCAAGAGGAAGAAAUAAAGAAGUUCGAGUUUUAGGUCUUUUAGUUCUUUGAUUCUUCUACUCUUCUGAUUUUAUUAUUUUUUCAUUCUUUGAUUCUUUAUUUCAAUUAGGUUAAACCCUCGUGUCAUUAUGUUUAUUUCUUUGAGAGGCUUUCAGGUGAUUCUAAGACGAGGGAUAUGCUCUUAUAUCUUUGAGAUCCUCUUCACCUGCUCAAAAAUCUCUUCCCCUUCAGGUAUGGAUUUCCUUGGUCGUUUGUUUUCGUAUUUAGCUAUCACUGCUAUCACAAAGAUUGAAAAUAUAUGUUCUCUCUGUGUGUCAUAGAUCAUUUGAUUUGAUGUGUAAUUUGAAAUUGCUCAGACUUUUUUCAGUUUUACACUAUUGCGAGGGAAUCUCAAGACUCAGCAGAUUACCCAAGUGUAAGCUUAAUAAUAAUAUUAAAAAGUUACCCUGUUUGAUGUGUGUUUUGCUUCUCUGAUCCAUCUAUGGUUUUUAUGACGAUAUUUCAGGAAGUACGAGAAUGCACCUGAACCUUUUCGAUUAUCUUCCCCUCAUCAGGCGUAAUUUUCAACUACACCAUUUAUCACCUUCUCCCUUUUUCCUGCCCAGGUCCUUAGUUCGGAUUGAAUUUGAAUAUGAGUUUUUGAUGGGUCUCUCCCUCCUUCCGCUCUCAAGGUUCAAGUGCUAACUUCCAAAUUACUAUUAGGUUGUUUUCUCAAAAAGCAAAAUAAUAACUUAUUGGUUAUCUAUUUGGAGUAUGUCUAGGUGCAACACGAAGGACCAAUUUGUGAUUUAUGGUAUGGUCCCCUUGAUCGAUGUGGGUUAUCUCCACUUGGUGAUGGUUAUUAUUUGGACAGCUCGAUUUCAGUGACAACAAUGGACGCAGUCUCAUAACAUGAGCACAUCAGCUUCUCAUGGAAGGAUUUAACUGGUGGCAUGUCAUGUAUGCUCAUCUCAAUUGCUCAAGGCUCUGCCAAAGGCAUGAUUGGUCAGUCUAUUUUAUCAGGAACUGUGGAUUGAAUCACUGAUCUUUCAAAAAAAUUUAUGGUAACAGGAAAAGAAUGUGGUGACAGUGUUUAGUGCACCAAAUUAUUGCUACCGGUGUGGAAACUAAGCAACGAUUCUAGAGAUAUGAGGAGCAGAUUUAAUCCAGUUUGAUCCAGCUCCUCGACAAGCCGAGAUACCGCUGAUCCUAAAACCUACACAACGGCAACUGAUCAGCAUGGAAAAGAGAAUCAGGCUGGGUUACUAAACACAACCGAGAGCUUUCCUUUAUCUCCAUCUGGUAUAUUGCACCGGCUUUCCAGUAACUUCUACCAAAUGUUUCCUCCCAUUGUGCAGUUGUACUAAAAACUAAGUAUCGAGGUUGUUACCUUUUCCUCGGUCAGAAUCUUUGUAAUCAUGCUUCUCCAAAUUAUUACAGUAAGCUACCGGGUGGAGCUGAUGUGUGUGCCAAAUAAGAUCAACAUCAUAAGUCGGAAUGCAAAACCAUUUCAAAAAAUGUACCACAGAACCGUUCUCAGUUUUUUACAUAUAGAAACAUCGUGGAUUGUUUCUUUAGUCUCACUUAUUUUAAAACAGAACCAAAACUGGAGAAAACAACAAGUGAUCAAAGCUCUGAGCUUUAUUCAAAAUGUCUCAAUAAAUUUACCAUAUUGAACUUAAAUUAGAUUUUUUUCCCGAAAAUAAGAAUUUUUUAUAGAAGAGGAACUUCAGGGUUUGGCUUGGUUAAUCUUCUGGUCUUUUUCUGUGCUGAGAAAACAUAGACCAGACAGCAAAGAAUGAGGACAUAUUGGCUUCUUGGGAUGAUGAUGAUGAUGAUGUGUAGGUCUGCCAUUGCCAUGAGGAGCACGACAAAGAGAUCUAAUAACCACAAUUCUUUAAACUCUGAUUAGUCUUAAAAUUAGGCUAAAUUGUUUUCACUGCGAGAAAAAGAAACCACAAGAAACAGAGCAGAAGAAAAAGGAAGUAUAGUAAUACAGAAGCUAGAUUUUACCCAGGGAAAAAGAUUCAGGUAUUCAUUUCAUGUAUACAAACAAGGUUUUCAUCAAAUACGAGGAAACACAGAAAUGAUUAAUUUAAUUACAUUGGAAGUGCAUAACACAAAGGAAACGCGUCGUUACAUCUAAAUGUAGUUCCCUUUGUUAAAUUGUUUUUAUAUUUCAAUGUAACUUUAUAUUUAUUGGAUAUUGUAUAAAUUAUGUAAAUUACUGUGUAAUUGAUUAAAUUUAUAUAUUAAAUGACAGUUUUCUAAAGUAAUAACUUUUAAAUAUUACAGCUUUUAAUUAAAAUUAAUUACAUUUUGAAACAAGUAGAGUAAUUUAUAAACUAACUCUAUAUAGAUAUGAGGACAAAAUUGUAAAGUGGUAUCACCUUGAAUUUCUCUCAUUCUGUACAUUUUUAAUUAGGAGGAGAUAAUCAACAUCUAAUUUUAUGUUACUCUCAGCAUAUAAGAAAUAGUCGAACCGUAAACCAAUUAAAGAUGAUGUAAGGAAGACAUAAAGAUGUAUUUCCAGUUAUCACAAAUAUAGAAUCAAUUGAUAACAACUUAAUUAUGUCCAACGUAGGAUAACAUAGAAGAAUUUCCAUACCUUCUAAUAUUAUAAUAUCUCACUAUAUUAGUGGCUAAAUCAGUUUCCUCUAGCACAAAUACUCACUCCAUUCUUGGAGUUUAAGUUUUUAUAUCUGAUGAUAUUAGUAGUUUGAUCCAAAAAAAAAAAAAACGGUCGAACUGUACACUAUAAUUGGAGAAAGAAAACAAACAAAAAUCAACCGAAGACUUUUAAGGUAUAUGAAACAAAAAUUGGAAAUAUCAAUUCU